AUGCAACUGCCUCACACCAAACAGCUUCUGCACAGCAAAGGAAACCAACUACAGAACAGAGACAAUCCACUGAAUGGGAGAAGACACUUUAACAUCAAAUAUCUGGCACCUUAGGUCAACUCUGCUUCCACUCCUGUGGCCUGGGACUCCGUCUGCUGUCCCUCACUCGCCUCUGCUCUCAUGGACAGUGACCCGCCUGCAAAACUCAGACCUCAGUGUGAGAAGACAGAUGGAAGAAGAAAGACAAUGUAAUUCCCUCACUGGACAGAGCAUGACCAUAGCUGAGUUCCCUAGCAACACUUAGAACUCUGCGAAAGAUAUCAAAGCAAUCUCAAUUAAGUGUACUGUACAUUAAUUACAUUUCAAUAAAAAGUACACUGAUCUUACUGCAAACUA